UAUCUGGUUGAUCCUGCCAGUAUUAUAUGCUGAUGUUAAAGAUUAAGCCAUGCAUGUGUAAGUAUAAAGACCAAGUAGGAUGAAACUGCGGACGGCUCAUUAUAACAGUAAUAGUUUCUUUGGUUAGUAAAAUACAAGGAUAGCUUUGUGAAUGAUAAAGAUAAUACUUGAGACGAUCCAGUUUGUAUUAGUACAAAAUGGCCAAUUUAUUUAAAUGAAUUGAGAAAUGACAUUCUAAGUGAGUUAGGAUGCCACGACAAUUGUAGAACACACAGUGUUUAACAAGUAACCAAUGAGAAUUUCUGAUCUAUCAAUCAGUUGGUAGUAUCGAGGACUACCAAGAUUAUAACGGAUAACGAGGAAUUGGGGUUCGACAUCGGAGAGGGAGCUUUACAGAUGGCUACCACUUCUAAGGAAGGCAGCAGGCGCGUAAAUUACCCACUUUCGAAUUGAAGAGGUAGUGACGACACAUAACUCUAGAGUUGAGUAAAAUCAAUUCUUGAAGGAAUGAGUAGGAGGUAAAUUCUCCUACGAAAUCAAUUGGAGGGCAAGUCUGGUGCCAGCAGCCGCGGUAAUUCCAGCUCCAAUAGUGUAUAUUAAAGUUGCUGUGAUUAAAACGCUCGUAGU
rnacentral:rRNA from 1 species